rnacentral:rRNA from 1 species
UACGGAGGGAGCUAGCGUUGUUCGGAAUUACUGGGCGUAAAGGGCGCGUAGGCGGUCGGGUAAGUCGGGUGUGAAAUUCCGGGGCUCAACCCCGAGAACUGCAUCCGAUACUGCUCGACUUGAGAGAGGUAGGGGCGAGUGGAAUUCCCGGUGUAGCGGUGGAAUGCGUAGAUAUCGGGAAGAACACCGGUGGCGAAGGCGGCUCGCUGGACCUUUUCUGACGCUGAAGCGCGAAAGCGUGGGGAGCAAACAGGAUUAGAUACCCCCGUA